rnacentral:rRNA from 1 species
CAGCAGCCACGGUAAUACGUAGGUGGCAAGCGUUGUCCGGAAUUAUUGGGCGUAAAGGGCUCGCAGGCGGUUUCUUAAGUCUGAUGAGAAAGCCCCCGGCUCAACCGGGGAGGGUCAUUGGAAACUGGGAAACUUGAGUGCAGAAGAGGAGAGUGGAAUUCCACGUGUAGCGGUGAAAUGCGUAGAGAUGUGGAGGAACACCAGUGGCGAAGGCGACUCUCUGGUCUGUAACUGACGCUGAGGAGCGAAAGCGUGGGGAGCGAACAGGAUUAGAUACCCCGGUAGUCCCUGUCUCUUAUAC